UACAGAGGGGGCAAGCGUUGUCCGGAUUUAUUGGGCGUAAAGAGCGUGUAGGCGGCCAGAUAGGUCCGUUGUGAAAACUCGAGGCUCAACCUCGAGACGCCGAUGGAAACCAUUUGGCUAGAGUCCGGAAGAGGAGAGUGGAAUUCCUGGUGUAGCGGUGAAAUGCGCAGAUAUCAGGAAGAACACCCGUGGCUAAGGCGGCUCUCUAGUACGGUACUGACGCUGAGACGCGAAAGCGUGGGGAUCAAACAGG
rnacentral:rRNA from 1 species